CCAGCCCAAAACUAGCUGUGGGAUGAAUGAAUUACUUUGAGGAAGGCAGUCUACUCUUACCUACUUUUUUGUUUACUCCUCAGUUAUGGAAAGGAUUAGAUAUUUACUAUGCACAUGGAAUACAGUUGAAAUUUUCAAAUCAAAUAUAGUCUGGACUAAGUGAAUUUAUUGUGCAUUUGCAGAUUGACUGUUGCAUGCAUAUUUUGUAGAAAUGCAAGCAGUGGGAUUCAAACCUGGGGGAAGGUAGUAUGUUAACAACUUGCUACUUACAUCUUGUUUCAGAAUAAUAUUAUUACUAUUCAGUAUGCUCAACAACAUUCAACAGAAAUUUUUUUUCUGCCCAUGACUGACUGUUCUUGGAGGCUUCUUCUUCUUCCCCCUGACUUGACUGGGAGUGUUUGGCUGUCUCUAGCACUCUAUCUAUAAUUUAAUGGGAAUCCUGAACUUGUUCUCUUUGGGCCAAAAACCCACAAAGAAUGUCCAGCUUCUCAGCCUCCUUACUUAAUAAUGUAGCUUGGCUUUGAAAUUUUACUUACGACUCUUAGUUGCUAGCACAGUGUUAAAACCUACAUGUUAUAUUGUCUGAAGCUGCCUCCAGUACAGUGCACUCCUCAAAGAAAAGUAAAAAAAAAACCUACAACAAACAAGAAUCUCACCAAUCACAAAGAAUUAAUCUUUAUAGACAAAAUUUCCCAAAUCUAUGCAUGUCCCUGCCUUUUUUCUAAUGUGAUGAUCUACUUUCCAGAUGAGCCAUUUUGCAUGUGCAUGUGAGCCGUUUGUUCAAAGUCCUCUGAGCAGGUUAUGGCCUGUUUAACCCUUGGCUCUUCCUGAUCCUGUAUGAACUUGCUGCGAGUUGGAUUCCUAAAAAUGCUUUCUGGAAAAUAAUAUACAUCUUAUAUCCAGGGCAGUAUGAUAGAAAAGGGGGUUUGUGUCAACAAGUUCCACGAGUAAUCUGUUAAUCUGUGUAACAUAUCCUGACCUAAUAUGGGGAAUUCAACUGUCUAAAUCAAAGGUAAACAAAAUUGGACUAAGACACUUAUUCAACAUAUAAAUAUUUUCAGAAAUGUUGGGGUUUUUUUAUUUCACAGAAGAAAAAGCUUGGGAAAUAGGACAGUGCACUUCCAUACUCUGUUUUUUCUUUUUUUUCUUUUGAAUCUUUUGUCUCUUCAAUCUGUAUAUUAGUAUUUCAUUACAACAAAACUGGAAUUUUCAAAAAAAAAUAAUUAGGUAAAUUUGAAUUCUCCUUUCCUACAAGCUUCAAGAUUUACUGUCAUAGUAGUUUUAGGAUUCACUGUUUUUGAAGCCAUAAUGAUCAACUUUUAUAAAAAGGGGUACCUGAGGAAUGGACAAACAUUGUAACUAAAUGUAGAAACAGAUGCUCUCUUGCAGAAUGCAUGUUGUAGUCUUAGAGAUUUAUUACCCUGGGUUCAUUACACCCUCCUCCACUGAGGUAGGAUAAAUUAAUGAAACAGGUUCACAUAAAGUAGUUUCAGUAAUAUUAACUAGCUACUGUUGUUUCCAAGGUUUCUUCCCUCUUAUCUGAGUGCCCCAAAAUUAAACAGCAUUUAUUUUGCUGAUUAUCAAGACAAUUUAUUUUCUUGCAGUUUCAAACUUUUUUCCUAGUGUAUUUUCUUCAGAUUCCUUUUUGUCAGGAAUCAAGUAUAAAUAUACCAGGAAGAGAAAAAAUGAACUCUUAUUACUUAGAAGAGGUAGUAAAAUGAGGGCAAAAUGGGCCAAACCUUCAUCCUACAUUUCAGUUGAAAGGAUUCUUUCUCUGUAUCUUUCCCUUUUCCUAGAUCGUGGCACAACAGACAUAUGAAAGACUUAGAAUUCCAAAUAAGUUUUAGGUGAUAUAGAUGUGAAAAUAUGAAGUGGAGAGAACAGAAUGAAUAGAAAGUAACUAAAAAUUUAGAAACGGAAGACAAUGUGUAAUGUGAAAGAUUAACUUUUAGACUGAUUUACCUUUCCCAGAAUGCCUGUUUAGUAUGGAUUUCAACUAGUGGCCUGAAUGUAACCAAAGAUGAGGAGCAUACUUGGAAAAGUACAACUCUUUCCUCCUUUUCAGAAGUGUCAUAGAAAAAGCAGGUGGUUCUUUAGAUCAUCUGACUGCAAGAUGGAGUAAAGUUAUGAUCUGUAGCUCAGCCUGGAUUGGAUGAAUCAUGGACUGACUGGCGGAGCUGUUCAGAGAAGGUGGUGGACAUAAAUGCAACUCAUGUCGUACUGCCAUGGCAUGAUGCAAAACAGUUCUUUUUGAGGUUUCGUAGUUCUUUCUCCAACUGAUCUACACUUUGUCCUCUGUACCAGGACAAACUUUUCCCGAUUGGCAUGACUCUUCUGGAUAAAGCUGGGACAGUCAUCAGAACACAGUUAAAUACCUAUUGGAUGAAGCACUGAAAGAAGUAUAACAACAGGCUGGGAAAGUCAAAUCCAUUAUAAGAAGCCUAAUUCCUGCUUUUGUUUAAUCUAAAAUAUGUAAUAUUAAAAAUGCAUUUUUAAAGAAAAAAGAAAAAACCCCAUGUUUCAUGCAUGUAUUAAAUUAGGCUUUGGAAAAAAAUGUUAUUGAAUAGUGAUACUGUUGAUCGACCUGCAGGAUAGAAGUAUAUAGAAGUAAUCAAUGUAUGUAGUAAAAUAUAUGGCAAAUGUUUUAGAACAGAAAAAAUUAUUUUACCCCUUAUUCUAUAACUUGCAUUUGUUCAUUACCUGUGACAGCAAUUGGAUGUAAGAGAGUUAAAAACAAUCAUCAUUUACUAUUACAAAUAUUUAAACUUUACGGAAGAGCUCAUUAAAAUGAUAAGUAUUGUGUGAAAUUC